rnacentral:rRNA from 1 species
GUACACAAAAAUGCACAUAUUGUGAGCUCGAUGAGUAGGGCGGGACACGUGGUAUCCUGUCUGAAUAUGGGGGGACCAUCCUCCAAGGCUAAAUACUCCUGACUGACCGAUAGUGAACCAGUACCGUGAGGGAAAGGCGAAAAGAACCCCGGCGAGGGGAGUGAAAAAGAACCUGAAACCGUGUACGUACAAGCAGUGGGAGCCUCUUUAUGGGGUGACUGCGUACCUUUUGUAUAAUGGGUCAGCGACUUAUAUUCUGUAGCAAGGUUAACCGAAUAGGGGAGCCGAAGGGAAACCGAGUCUUAACUGGGCGUUAAGUUGCAGGGUAUAGACCCGAAACCCGGUGAUCUAGCCAUGGGCAGGUUGAAGGUUGGGUAACACUAACUGGAGGACCGAACCGACUAAUGUUGAAAAAUUAGCGGAUGACUUGUGGCUGGGGGUGAAAGGCCAAUCAAACCGGGAGAUAGCUGGUUCUCCCCGAAAGCUAUUUAGGUAGCGCCUCGUGAAUUCAUCUCCGGGGGUAGAGCACUGUUUCGGCAAGGGGGUCAUCCCGACUUACCAACCCGAUGCAAACUGCGAAUACCGGAGAAUGUUAUCACGGGAGAC